rnacentral:lncRNA from 10 species
AGAAAUUCUGUGGCUUUCCAUUUUCUUAAAUAGUUAACAUGAUUCAAGAUCACCUAUGGUUUGACAUGGUAAAUGCAAUGGGGUCUCAGAGAAGGGAGCAGUCACCGUGAGCUGAAAGAAGCAACAACGCCUUCUCGGAGAUGCAGAAUCCAACAUUUAUGAAUUUGACAUUUACAGGAAAUCACUACAAAUUUACAACCUUCCCAUGGCCCCAGCUGUUUCUAAAUCAAGUUGCCUGACUGAAAGGCCAGUUCUAACCACGGCUCUGACUGCUCCUGAUCUGCCUUCGACUGCCGCUUGUGUGGCCAACUCAGACGCCUGCCUGGCACUGACCCAACACGGCUGUGCCCUCCCAGCUCGUUGCUAAGUGGAGCAGUCACGACUCUGCCUCAGCCCAACCCAGAGUUUCUCCCCAAGGGAAUAGUUCUCUGCAGUGAAUGCAGAGCUUGAAGGUCUCGACUCCUCACAGAAGCGCAUGCCUGUGUGGUCCCUGGAAACUUGAAUGACAUGGCACUGAGUGUCCUGCUACUUACACUCAGGGAUGAAUGUAGAUCCUAACAGUGGAGAGCUGCAUUUCCCUUGAUACGAGCUUGGGUUUUUCAGGAGGAGCCACCGUGGUACCCGUCAAGGCAGCAUGCACCACCUGUAUCCCCUAGUGUGGGCUCUCUGCUCUUUAAUCCUGGAGGAAAUGGUAGCCCCACGUUUGUCUUUGCAAGCUUCAGUCUGUUCUACUGCUCACCAGAACAUCGUCUGUUUCUCCCAAGUCCUGUUUUUUCAUUCAUGUCUGUAUCACCUUGACUCAUUGCCUCUGAGACACUCCAGAAGUCUCACCUGACCCCAUAUCCAACCAUAUCUCUCUCUUCCUUAUCCCGGCCUUCCCUUGUUCGAGCCCCAUUCCUAAGGCCUGGACUGUGGCAGUGGCCUUUUAAUUGGUCUUCUUUCCUCUGGCCAUCCCCGACUCUUUUGCCUGACUAGCCUUCCUAGAGCAUAAUUCCAUUCACACAAUGGUCCAUAUUCCUAACUGCACAUCCAAUAACUGAUGAUUAAAAUCCACGACCCCCGCCCUGGUACUCAAUGCCUUCUAUGAUCUGGCUGCAACCUCCCUCACGGCCUAGUCUUCUCCCUCCAUCUCCUUCAUGCUUCCUCCCUCUACUUCCUUGCGAGUCUUGAGCCCCAAAUUAAACCCUUCCUUCUUGCCCUUUGAUACUCAAAUUUUUCCUCUACAACCCUCUUACCUCCUCCCACUAAAAAUGUUCUCCUCCAUUUUUUUAUGUCUUUCUAGACUCAACUAGACAAUUCCCUGCACUAGAAAGUCUCCUCUAACCCUUCCAGACAGACAGACAGAUAUAAGCCCUCCUCUUUACCAUGACAAGCAGGACCUAAAAUGAUGUUGACGACCAGGUAUUGAGCACCUUGGUACUGUGCUCAUUCUUCAAUAUGCAUAGGCAAACGUUAUUUCCCAUUCUCACCAAACCUCUGCCAAUUGGGCUCCUGGCUGGGCAGGUGAAGAAAUCAGGCUCCAAAAGGUCAAGGGCCUGUUGUCUAAAACAGCUGUCCCCAACCAUUUUGGCCCCAGGGACUGGUUUUGUGCAAGACAACUUUUCAAUGGACCGGGGUGGUGGGGGAUGGUUUUGGGAUGAUGCAAGAGCAUUACAUUUAUUGCACACUUUCUUUCUAUUGUUAUUACAUUGCAAUAUAUAACAAAAUAAUUACACAACUCACCAUAAUGAAGAAUCAGUGAGAUACCUGAACUUGUUUCCCUGCAACUAGAUGGCCUCAUCUGGGCAUGAUGGGAGACAGUGACAGAUCAUCAGGCAUUAGAUUCUCAUAAGGAGUGCACGACCUAGAUCCGUCACAUGCACAGUUCACAAUAGAGUUUGUGUUCCUAUGAGAAUCUAAGGCUGCCACUUAUCUGGCAGGAGGCAGAGCACAGGUGGUAUUACUGGCUCACCCAUCACUCACCUCCUACUGUGCGGCCCCUUCUGUGGCCUGAGGGUUGGGAACCCCUGGGCUGAAGGCACCAGCUAAUAAAGACUCAGCUAGGAAGGGGAACCCAGGUCCAUUGGACUUUGAAGGCCUGUGUUCUCACUUUGUCUACGUUGCAUCUCAGAGGUUUUAUUAGUGAUGUACAUUUAUCUUCCCCUGACUGGCUGGUAAGCCCCUCCAGGAAGAACUAUGAAUUAUUCACUUCUUUUACAGGCUAUCACAACUUCCUGUUUUAUUUCCUCCACAUCGAUGAUCACUAUCUGGAGGUACCUUGUUUAUUCAUUUGUUUCCUUUAUGGCCUUCCUGGCCCCACUAGAAUAGGGGCUUCAAGGAGCAAGGAUUGCGUCUACUUUGCUCAUUGCUUCUCCAAUGUCUAGAACAUGUCUGGACCAUAAUCCACACUCCAUGUUUGUUAAAUAAAAGACAAAAUGGAAGAAGAAAACUAGGAGGGAGGAAAAGAGGAUAGAAGAAUUAAUAUUUGCUAAAGAAAUGCAUACAGUCAACGGCCCAGAACACUCAGAAAAAGCUUCAUUGUGUGAAGGAAGGUGCCACAUUUGUAUUUACUGGCAGGAAUAGUGUUCAGAUUUGUUCUUCAGGACUGUCUUUCAGAGAAUCAAAAGAGGAAAGAAAUGCCCACCAAAAUCAAAGCCAAGUAUAGCUAUCAAAUUACAAGUGCAAAUACCGUUUGACAAAGAAAUUCCACUUCUGGAAAAUUAUUCUACAGAUAUAUUCACAUGUGUACAAGGUUAUUCAUUCCAGCAUUAUUUGUUGUAGCCAAAGAUUGGCAACAAUCCAUAUGCCCAUCAAAUGGAGACUGCUGAAUGCAAAUAGUGGUACAUUUAUACAAUGGAUGAUUACACAGACACAAGAACGAGGAAGCUCUCUCUAUACUGAUGUGGAAAGAUCUACAGACUACAUUGUUAACUGAAAAGCGCAGGGUGCCAAACAAUGUGCCUAAAUGUCACUGUUUGUGAAAAAAAAAAGGGAAGGGUGGAUGCGAUUUUCUGUUGUGUGUGCACAAAGAAUCCUGGAAGGAUACAUAGGAAAGUCAGAACAAUAGUGUUGAGUCGGGGGAUGUAGUGUCAGCGGGCAAGGCUGGGUAGAUGGCGGAAAAGUGUGGGAAGGAGACUCUUCAUAUGUAACUUUUUACCUACAAA